ACUCCAGCCUGAGCAACAAGAGCAAAACUCUGUCUCAAAAAUAAAUAAAUAAAUAAAUAAAUAGUUUAGUGUAAAGAAGAAUAUGACAAACUGCAUUUGUACUCUGGUCCCAAUUUUGCCAAAAUAUGGAUGUGUGACUGUAAACAUGUGCCUAGAGAAAACGGAAUGACAGUCAUCAAAAUGCUUGCAGUGGUUAACUCUGGGCAGGGAGAUUUCUGGUAAGUCUUUUUUAUACUUCUCUGUACUGUUUGAAGUUUCACAGUAAGCAUGUUUAUCUUAUCAAAGUCUGAUAGAAGCCGAGUGAUGAGUGGCAUUGACCCUGCUGACACUGCGCGGCCAGCACACCCCGGAUCCGAUAGCCUCUGCGGCAGGCCUUCCCAUUUCAAGAGUCUAUGAUUCUAAGACGCCAAAUGGUAUCUCCAGAUCAAAACUAUUUAUAAGAAUCAUUUCCUUCAGGAUGAGCUGUAACUUCCACUAGCUACUUGUAUGUUUCGAUGACAUCAUCUCUGAGAUUUAUGUGAAAUGACUCCUUUUCCUUGAUGUUAUCAAGGAGUUUGAGCAGUUGAGUUCCUUAUAGUUCUUUGUGUUUAAACCAUAUCUGAAGAAGCUGUCAUUUGUCAAGGUUUAAUUGUUUCCAUUAUUUUUUUCCUGGUGAGUUUCCAGAUAUUGCUGGGCAGCUUCGAUAAAGACACUCGAAAAGAAGAUGUUAAGAAAUGGAUGGAACAUGGUCACCAAUUCCAGGUUCUAGGCCACUUUUCAGCUGUGUCAUCUGGAACUUCAGCACCUGAACAAGAGUAAGCAGGUAUGUACGCCAAGCUCCAAUGAUGACCGUGAACCCUACAGAGUCGGAAGUGUGGAAGGAAGCAGUGAGGGCGGAGCCUGCAUGGAAAGGAUCUCCUUAGGAAAAGAGACAGAGACCCUGCUUCCUCUCUGCUCUCCUACCAUGUGAGAAGCCACAAAAAGAUGGCCAUGUGCAAACCAGGAGACUGCAUUUACCAGGUGCCAAAACUGCCAGCACCUGGAUCUUGGACUUUCCAGCCUCCAGAACUGUGAGAAGUAAAUUGUUGUUCAGCUGUGUGCGGUGGCUCACGCCUGUAAUCCCAGCACUUCAG